rnacentral:rRNA from 1 species
CCCUUAGAUGUUCCGGGCCGCACGCGCGCUACACUGAGUGUCUGAGAUACGAGUCUGCCUGGUCCGGCAAGGUCUAGGUAAUCGCUAAAAGACACAUCAUGCUUGGGAUAGAUUAUUGCAAAUAUUAAUCUUGAACGAGGAAUUCCUAGUAAGCGCAAGUCAACAGCUUGCGUUGAUUACGUCCCUGCCCUUUGUACACACCGCCCGUCGCUACUACUGAUUGGAUGUUUAAGCGAGGUUCUCGAACUGCUAGCGACUUAGCUUCGGUGAGGUCGCAGUGUGGGAAGUGAACCUAGCUUUGGUGUCUAGAGGAAGUAAAAGUCGUAACA